rnacentral:lncRNA from 1 species
CUUAGGGAAAAUGUUUCACUUUUGUGUGGGUUUUGACAGAGACUCAAAAGCUGCAAUACCGGCACAAAAUAGGAGUUAAUAGUCAUGAAAAAAGAAGUACAUCAGAGAGAUAGGAGCAUUAUUUAAAACACAAGCAAGUGUGCUCUCUCUCUCUCUCUAUCUCUCCCCCCUAGAACUUAUCUAGAGAGAGAGAGGGUGAUGGCUAAUGAGCACAAAAUGUCACGCUUGACU